CCUGAAUUGCUUUACCACACUCUGCUCAAUGCGCCUUUCAUUCUCGUGACAUUCCUUCCACCACCACCACUCCUUUUUCCCGUGAAGAGUGAUCACUCUCGGGUUCUUUCGUAGCCCAGCCAGGUCUGCCUAAUGAAACCCAGAGAUAUUAUGGACAUGGAUUGGAACUGUGAGGGGAACAGCUUCACCAGGAGACAUUGAGAGAGCCCCACAGCAGAAUAUCCCAUGGCUCAGUGGCUGGGGCACUCACUGAGAGAUGGCAAAGCCCUAUUC